UGGGGAAUUUUGGACAAUGGGGGCAACCCUGAUCCAGCAAUGCCGCGUGUGAGAAGAAGGCCUUCGGGUUGUAAAGCACUUUUGUCCGGGAAGAAAUCGCACCUGAUAAUACCGGGUGUGGAUGACGGUACCGGAAGAAUAAGGACCGGCUAACUACGUGCCAGCAGCCGCGGUAAUACGUAGGGUCCAAGCGUUAAUCGGAAUUACUGGGCGUAAAGCGUGCGCAGGCGGUUGUGCAAGACCGAUGUGAAAUCCCCGGGCUUAACCUGGGAAUUGCAUUGGUGACUGCACGGCUAGAGUGUGUCAGAGGGGGGUAGAAUUCCACGUGUAGCAGUGAAAUGCGUAGAGAUGUGGAGGAAUACCGAUGGCGAAGGCAGCCCCCUGGGAUAACACUGACGCUCAUGCACGAAAGCGUGGGGAGCAAACAGG
rnacentral:rRNA from 1 species